CGAACGGGUGAGUAACACGUGAGCAACCUGCCCCAAGCUUUGGGAUAACCCUCGGAAACGGGGGCUAAUACCGAAUAGGACCGCUGGCCGCAUGGCUGGUGGUGGAAAGUUUUUCGGCUUGGGAUGGGCUCGCGGCCUAUCAGCUUGUUGGUGGGGUGAUGGCCUACCAAGGCGACGACGGGUAGCCGGCCUGAGAGGGCGACCGGCCACACUGGGACUGAGACACGGCCCAGACUCCUACGGGAGGCAGCAGUGGGGAAUAUUGCACAAUGGGCGGAAGCCUGAUGCAGCGACGCCGCGUGAGGGAUGACGGCCUUCGGGUUGUAAACCUCUUUCAGCAGGGACGAAGCGAGAGUGACGGUACCUGCAGAAGAAGCACCGGCCAACUACGUGCCAGCAGCCGCGGUAAGACGUAGGGUGCGAGCGUUGUCCGGAUUUAUUGGGCGUAAAGAGCUCGUAGGCGGCUUGUCGCGUCGACCGUGAAAACUUGGGGCUCAACCCCAAGCCUGCGGUCGAUACGGGCAGGCUAGAGUUCGGUAGGGGAGACUGGAAUUCCUGGUGUAGCGGUGAAAUGCGCAGAUAUCAGGAGGAACACCGGUGGCGAAGGCGGGUCUCUGGG
rnacentral:rRNA from 1 species